ensembl:lncRNA
UCCAAGACACUGCUAAUUGCUGAGCAGUGAUGUCUUUGGUGGAAAACCUUCCCUAAUACCCAAAUACAUCCCCCAUUGCCUGUCUGUGAUCCUCAGGAAUGGGCCUGUUUUGUUAACAGGUUAACCAAUGAUCGGUAGAUUCAAUUCAAGUUUAUUCAAGAAAUUGAGCACAAAAAAAUGAUUGCUAUUAUAGAUAUCGCAGCCUCUGUCUGUGAUCAGUAUUUAGAGAAACCACGUUAUGAUGCUUUGUGCUCCUGUAAUUCUUUCCCUUAAUUAUCUCAAAGCACCUGAACUACAGUAUAACCCUUACAGCACCUGGUAAUGAAAGAAAUGUAGUGUUUACAAUUAGGCAAAUGCACAGCUAGAGCCAAAAUUAUCAAACAUGAAUGCUUAAAUACAGCAAUUUGAAGUGCUGUUUACUUUAGUAAGUGUUAAGUAUGUCUAUCACUGACUUUAAAGAAACCAGAAGGUGAUCUCUGAGUUUGUGAAAUAAAACUAUUUAUUUAACCAUGCGGGAACAUAACCGUGCUUGAAUUUAAGCAACAUGUUCUUAAGUUUAGUGUGGUUUAUUGUAUUCUGUAAUUAUGAAGUGCAUGAAAUAAAUCUGUCUCAGGGCCUUACAUCAGAGGAUCUGAAAUAAAUGCAUUUCAGUGCAACAAAGCCAUGUGGAGUGCAGUGUAGCGACUACCUCACAGCACAUAGGAACUUCUCACAACACUGUACAGGACAGGGUGAAGAAGGCUUUGAGCUGCAACUGCAGGGAGAAUCUAGGUCAGAAGGAUGCAAUUACUUGAGCUGACUGAGCAAUGGAAAAAAUCCACUAAUGCUCACUAGAGCUCAAAAGCAAUCUAGGUUUACUUUCACUUACAGAAGUGAAUUUAAGCAAAAGCUUAAGUACUAGCAAAAUAUAUGUUGAAUUGGAUUGUUCACGUUACACUUUAAAUGUGAAAUGUAUUUGCAAGAUUUGAAAGACUCUUGGUGCAGAAACUGCAUCCUCUGAAUGACUAGCCAACACUGCAUUAAUGUAAAAGUUAGGUAAUAAAUAUUCACAGCAAACUGUUCACAAGAUAUUUGUAUAAUGAAAACGUUUUCCAAAUAGACUCACAAAUAUAUAAAUUACUGUGUGAAUUUUCGGAGCACUUUGUGAGCAGAAGAAAAAGAAGUGUGCUGACUCAAGUAUCUAUCAGAAAGGAAUUUCUAUUUUAUGAUCCUGUUCUUACAGAGGGUAUCCUGGGAUUAAAGAACCAGCAUCAGUGUGAAUGAUUUAAACCGAAACACCAGAUGACCUGAAAUAUUGUAAAACAUAAACAUUUCAUUUUCUGUAGUUGACUGGCAUCCAUUAAUAUGCAAGGAUGCUACUGUUCUCAAUGCUACUCAAGUGAGGAAGAAACGGGCUAGUUCCCUGUUUUGAAAAGUGAUUGAAUGCUAUUACCACAAUAAAAAUAGGUUUCACAAAAUAGCUGAGAUCAUUCACUGUGUGAAAUCUGCUUGUUGCCCAGUCUGCAGCAGCCUGGGAGCAGCAGAACCAGGCACAGACUUCACACGUGACUGAACUACAGAAUCCUUUUGGUCUUGCAAAGUGUCUUAUUUGGUAAAUGUAUUGUAAUAUUCAGUACAUUAAACAAGUGUGGAGCAAUACAGGAGAAUUUAAAUUCUACUUAUUCUACAUAAUUUAUAGCAUGUUUUAUAAAUACAUUCUCAGAAAAAUAAUAAAAAAGGCAGUGAUAAAUAUAAAAUAUAAAAUUGGGAAAUUUAGCUUGACUUCUAUUUGCACAGAUCUAAAUCUCAUAGAUAUCAGCUGAUGGGAAAAUGUUAGUAAUGCUAUCUUCCUGUAUCUGGUUUUUUUUUUUUCAUCAAAUGUAGUCAGUGCCACAUCUGUCAAAAUAUCUUGCCACUUGCUUUACUGGUAAAAACAGGUUAAAUGUAAUGGCUACUUACAUUUUUAAUAAGACACAUGGAUGACUUUAGUGGUGGAUACUAGGAUGGUGACACCAGUUACCAACUAUUUCUUCCAUAAAUAUAAAUGACAAUUUUAGACAUUCUGACAGCUGUUCUAGUUCAGAGAAUAUUAUAUAGUUCUGUAAUAGACCUUAGACCAAACUCUCCAAAUACAUAUAGCUAAAGUUAGGAUUUCUACUCCCAUUUUUAGACAGCUCUGUAAAAUUGUACAACUCUGUAAGAUUUUGUCGUCUUGUUCCUAUCAGACAAUAUGAACAACUAGAUCAACAAUUUUGAGAGUAAGACCCCUCAUCCUAGGUCACAAAGGAUGUCUUAAAAAAAUCUUAAAUCUGUCAGUAAACUUGAAUCCUAAAUUGAAAUGUUCUCUGUUUUUCAAGACUUGGGGUCUCACAAAGCUUUACUUAUGAAUUUAAGCAGGCAGCCCCUCUCCUUUUGUACCUUUUUUGCAUUAUGAUUCAGAAUCUGCAAUCAGAAAAGCACUGAAUUUGGUCAAGUCCAUCUGUUACCUUCAUCUUAAUGAUUUUAUUCCAUAGGCCUAAGAUUUUAUCUAUUUUACCUGAAUUUGCAACUCUUCUAAAAAAAUAUCUAAGCCUAUUAGGAAAGGUAGUUAGUGGCACUCAUUUAUACAUUACAUAGCUGGAUCCAGUGAUGGAUUCAUACGUAGUGAUGAAGAAUAAGUUUUAUGAGAUCUAGAAGGUGGAGUGGACUAACAGCAAAGAUUUGAAAUAAUUUAGCACAGUAUUCUACACUAGAAAAUUAUUUCUGAAGUUCCUUAAGAGUAAUUUAAUGUAAUUUCCUAAAAUGCAUAAGAUUCAUAAAGCUUUGUGGCUAAAACCACUGUAUAGGCUUCUACAAGAUUGUUGUAUACGAAAAUAAUUGUUACAAACAGAAGCUUCAAUGUCAACAAAAGAAAACUAAAGCUGCCUUGUGUGCAUUUCUUUUCACGGAUUCCAAUCAACAUAGACCAUGCAUGGGACAAUGUGUCUAGAUGCAGUCACCAAAGCCACAUAAUGCAGUGAUAUAAGAUAAUCCUACUUGCAAUGGAAUGUGGGUCAUAUGAAAUAACUACACAUUAAAGAGAGAAGAAACUCAGCUCUAGAAGACAGGUAUAUAAUAGAAAUAGACAGGUUGUAUUCAAGUGGAUAUGGAGGCAAGAACUAGAAAGAAAGGAAAAAGCUUUUGUCACCAAUUGGCUUGAUGUAGGAGGGCUGAAAGAAGUAAGGCUCUUAUGAGUACAAAAGUUCAGUGAGCAGAAGGCAAUAAAAGCAUGGCAACAAAUCCUCCACUAACAGCAAUAACACAAAUGGGAGAUUAGCUUGAAUAUUGUUGUUCCCAAAGGAGUCAUUCAAGGGUGAAGUUUGUAUUAGGAACUUCUGGAUCCAGCACAGAAGAUUUUAGGGAAGGACAUAACUGAGGCAGGCCAAUGCCACAGUUUGUAGAAGCAAGCAGUGGGCAAUAUUUUUUGCAAGAAGAGCAGUUUUGGAAAAGGGGCUACAGAGCCAGCUUCACCUGUACAAUGUUUGUAAGUAAUUUUUAAUGUAAAUUGCCAGUUAACUUCAUGAGGAGUGAAUUUUACAGGAGGGCAAUGUUGGAGUUACACUGACUCUUCAGGCCUAUGAGGUUUGGUGCAACCUGAAGGUGCCAGCUGACAUCUAUAGGCAUCUGUUGGAGCAAGACAGCAUUCUGAUGCUGCAUCCCUGUGAGGGAAGCUAACUGCAGGGGAACAGCAGAGAAAAAAGAGGAAAGGUGCUGUAAGAAAAUAUGUAAAAAAAAAAAAAAAAAACAUCUUUUUAGUUAAUGACUGUAAUAUUGAGAAAGAAAAAGGGGUUCAAAGGUGUGUGGGGAUUGCUAGGCCCCAGCCUGAACCUGAGCACCAGGUGAGAAGUCAUGGCUAACCCAGGGAGCUCAGGUACAAGCAAUGCACCUGAGGCCCUCAAUUAAGGGCUAGCAGCUGAGGGAGCAGAGAUCAUGCUCUUCUCAAGACAUCGCUGGUCUUUUGAAAGGGUGAGUCACCUUCUUCUGUAUCUUUGUAAACUAAACCUUAACUAAUUCCUUUGUGCUCCUGUCCUAGCAGAAGGCAUUAUCAUCACUUUCCAUUGCUCCACAGAAGGAAAAAAAGAAAUAUGAGAAAACAUUGACAAAGCUUGAACAACUGCCUGCAGCAUAAUGAUUUUCUGCAUUUUUUUUUUGUCAGGUGUUCCUGUGCUUUAUCAGUACUUACGUAGUGAUUCCCUUGAAACCACAUAGAUCAUUAACCUGGUGUUGGGUACGGAAGAGUAAUAACUCAUUUUUUAGCUUUCGGUCUUUAAUUCUAUUUUUUCUUUUUUCAAAAGCUCUGUGUUCAGUCUGUCUCUUGUCACAUGUAGAAAUAAUAAAGCAGAUAUGUGUGUGGGGUAAGGGCUACAAGCUUGGUUUGUAGGUCACCUUCAGUACAGGUGACCUUUAGGCAAAUGACCUACUAGGUUCUUCACAUCUACCACAUCAGCUGAUGGGGAAAGAGCUGUGGACAGCUGGAGCCCAGAGCCCAUGUGACAACGGCCAAAAUGUUCCUCUGCUGAGUGGCUGGCACCCACAGGCCCUGUCCCUUGGACUCGGGCUGAUUCAGCAGCCUACUCAAACAUGGCAGUGAUUGUUCACCCCACAGCCAGUGUCUGUUGCCAGCAGGAUUCUUCAGAAGACACCCAGGACACUUGGAGGUGACACUCCCUGGCUUCUGGCAGCUUAGAGACUGCUCCCACAGCUUUGCUGCAAACCUUCCACCUCUUCCCAUCUCUAUCUUUCUAAUUCUCAAGUCUCCGUGUUUUCCCUGACGUGGAUGGGUGUGAUGUUCUCAUGUUCUGGCCCUGCUGCUCACAAAGAGGGAACAGACAUCGAAGGUCUCUCUGUGCUGUCUGCCUCUGAAAGGAUUGCUCUCAAAUGGGAAAGAAAAUCAUGUACAAGUGGCAUUUCUUGAAUUGUGGAGCUACUGGAUGAUGUUCUUCAGGUCUUUCAGGUUAGGGGAGAAAGGAGAGACUGAAAGUAGGGAAAUCAGUGAGGAGGAAGUAAAGAAAAUAAUAUCCAUGAUGAAUAUAGGCUGCAAGAGAGAGCAGUGCUUUUAAGGAAAUGGGAGAGUGAGCAACAAAAAAUAUGGAAACAAAAGCCACAAUAAAACACUUCUAGAAACCUUAAGUGUUAGGAGAAAAGUAUAUCGUGCCAGAUCUGACAAAUCGCACUGCCAUUCAUUACAAAAUGACAAAAAUAGAGAAAAACAAAAUGCAGCACACUUAAAAAUUGUUUCAAGAAAUGCACAGCAGUGUGUGAUGCCAUGCUAGGAAAGCAAGUCGAAAUAUUAAAAAGAAAUAGCUCUCUUCCAUGUCCCAAAAAUGUCACACAGAAUAUUGUCUUUUCAGCUACACACCUUUAUGAUUUUACUUGUAAAUUAUUUUCAUUAAAUACUUAUUUUUUCUAAAUGUAUAUACCUGUGAUUCUACGUAGUGCUGUACGAUUCAUCCAAAUGUUUCUUUUUCCUUCAGAUAGCAUUAUAUGACGGUUAAGAGAUAACAGUUUACUCACAGACACAAAGCCCAGCUCACAAGGAUAUCAGGAAUAAUGGAAAAACAGGAAAUGGAAAUAACAAAGAUACUCAAGUCUCAUUCAAAAACGUUAGCUGUAUACCACCUUCUUCCUAACACACAAGCAGAUUUAAAGCCUGCCUACACUUGAAGGAGCCAGCUGUAGGGUUGCUUUCACCCCACCCAUGCAUAUUACAUUCAGCCUGUGCUGUCUUCUCAUGGAACACUUUCCCAGCUCCUCCUGGGUGAGGGACUCUGCCUGUGAGCAGGUGAAAGCAAGGUGGGCUGCCCAUUCUGCAGGGAGACACACGGGGAAAGCAAACGCUCUGGUUCUUGAUCAGUUUGUGAAAUAUAAAGAAGUACAAACCAGAUGAUUUCCCUGUUCUUAUUCGGUAUUCAGUGCACAUUCCUCCCUCCUCCUUCAGCAGUCCCUGGCAUUUUAGCUACCCAGAUGCUGCAGCAUUUAAUCAAUGAUUCAAUACACAGCCCAUGAGAUGUGCUACGACACUUCAACAAGCAACUUCUAUCACUCCGUGGGGACAGAGGAUCUGAGUUGCUGUCAGUCUCUUCUUGUCAGAUAUAAUUAACCAUACACCCAUUUACAUACAUAAAUAUUUAUACACAAAGAGGAAACUUCCUAGUGCUUCAUCAGAUCUCUGUUUAUCUCAGUGGAUUCUGAUGGCAGCAAAACACAGUCUAGUUUUGUUAAAAACUCAGAGAGAAUUUUGAAUCUCAUAAACGCGGAUAUUGUAGCCCGGAUUGUGAGAGGCUGAGAACCUGCAGCUUCUGGGGACACCUGAAAAUGGGAGGCGCACAGUGUCUCUUUCAUUUUAAAGCAGCUGUCCACAGUCAUAACACAGACACGGGGCAACAAACAACAGAUCGUACAAAACUUUUACAAUAUUCUGCUUUUGUUUCAGGCUUAAAAAAAAAAAAAUAAAAUGAAUACUGCAGGUGAGGAGCGUGGCAAGGCAGAAGAUUCAUAAUGGGUCUUUGGCAGCUGAACUGCACGGCCCAGGGUUACGGCUCAUCUUGUGUUGGGGUGGGAGCAGCUCAAGACAAGCUGUGUACAUAGCUUAUCUUCCACAAAAUUGCUGGAUAAACCAGAGCAUCUCUAGCAUACAUAAUGCUUACAUGCUUUAGGAAUCUUCCUUUUCUUGCUAAUGAUUUAGAUGGCACGUGAAUUGAGUAAAAAAAAACAAAAAGUGAAGAAUUGGCACUGGGCACUGGGCUUAGUUUAGCUGAGAAAAGACAUUUUCUCAGGAAGCGCGAAAGAAUCUUGAAGAGGAACUGGAGGACACCAGCAGUUCUUGGAGAGAGGCUGAGCAGGUAGAGCGGAACAUGGCUGUUAAACUGAAGCUCUUGUUCGAUUUUCUAGUUUGUUAUACAUUGCAAAGUUUGGCUGCCAAAGCUAGGCUUCUAACUUCUAAAUUAGUUUGUGCAGUCUAAAGCGCAUCUGUUUUUUCCAGCUGUCUCGUUUGCUGUAGUGAAAUAGAUUCUCUGUUAUAAAAGUUAGGCUGUCACAACCACCACAACGCUCUAACUCAAAAAACACCUUUUUUGUUUCCUUUCCUCCAGAGAGCGUGACACUGAUGAUGAGCUGGGAUUGCCUGUCCCACCCUGUCCCCUUCCAGGCAGCGUGUCUCAGCCAAGUGCUGUGCUCAGGGAGCUUCCGGAGAGCCACAGCUGUUAUGCUUAGGAGAUGCUGACACUACAGAGGGAUCCUCACAGGGAACACAGGUGACUCAGAAAUCCCGUCCUUUUCACUGAUGGCAUAUGAUGACAGAGAACAGUCUGUUCUGGAGUAGAUUCUGUGGAAGUCUGGAUGAAACAACUUCUAGAGUAACUUACUUGCUGGAAAAUAUGAUUUCAAGUGACUCCUGCCUUUCAAGUUUGAUAGGAUUGAUUCUGUGAGAACGCCUGGCUUCAUUUAUGUAAUUAUCUUCAUUAAUGCCAAGAAGAUUCAAUCAGAAUAUUCAACACAUAGCGACCAAACCCACGAGGGAACAGAAGUACGAGCACCAGCGAUGCAGUAUCUUCAGUAACCAUGCUGUUUUGGGUUCAGGCUUACACCCACCCACAUAUGUUGUAUUAUACCAUUGCAUAACCAGAGAUCUCAGGAGCCUGAAUUCUCAGUCUCUGUGGCUGCACACUGCAAUUGCUGUGCCAAUACGAAAAUAGUGGUAUCAUAUGCUGAUGCACCAUCCCGUCAAAGUGCUACUAGCGUGACUUUCCCUGAGACAUGGGGUAUUUCUGCAGGCCUUCAUUUCUGCAUUAGAAAUCCACCCAGGAAAAUGACGUGCUAAAGAGGAAAUUUCUGAAAACGUUUGUUAAUGCCUAUGUAAAUUACAGAUGCUUUCUGUAAUUGCUUGUUAGUACAGAGCCAAAAGGAGG